rnacentral:misc_RNA from 1 species
UUAAUAUUUGUUUUAGGCUGAAGUUACGGCUACUGCAGAGGUUUUUGGGGGGUCCUGGCGGCGGGCAAGCCCGCCGAGGAAACAGGCGGUGCUCAUAAACAAAGGGUGCUAUCUCAAUGGGGACGAAUCCCCACGGUAAUGAUCCUUCCGCAGGUUCACCUACGGAAA